UACAGAGGGUGCAAGCGUUAAUCGGAAUUACUGGGCGUAAAGCGUGCGUAGACGGUUAUUUAAGUCGGGUGUGAAAGCCCCGGGCUCAACCUGGGAAUUGCGAUGGAGACUGCAAGGCUAGAAUCUGGCAGAGGGGGGGUAGAAUUCCACGUGUAGCAGUGAAAUGCGUAGAGAUGUGGAGGAACACCGAUGGCGAAGGCAGCCCCCCUGGGCUGAGAUUGACGCUCAGGCACGAAAGCGUGGGGAGCAAACAGG
rnacentral:rRNA from 1 species